rnacentral:rRNA from 1 species
AUGCGUCCCAUUAGUUAGUUGGUAAGGUAACGGCUUACCAAGACGGCGAUGGGUAGGGGCCCUGAGAGGGGGAUCCCCCACACUGGUACUGAGACACGGACCAGACUCCUACGGGAGGCAGCAGUGAGGAAUAUUGGACAAUGGGCGAGAGCCUGAUCCAGCCAUGCCGCGUGCAGGAAGACGGUCCUAUGGAUUGUAAACUGCUUUUAUACGGGAAGAACAAAGGGCACGUGUGCCCCUCUGACGGUACCGUAAGAAUAAGGAUCGGCUAACUCCGUGCCAGCAGCCGCGGUAAUACGGAGGAUCCAAGCGUUAUCCGGAAUCAUUGGGUUUAAAGGGUCCGUAGGCGGGCCAUUAAGUCAGGGGUGAAAGUCUGCAGCUCAACUGUAGAAUUGCCCUUGAUACUGGUGGCCUUGAGUUAUAGUGAAGUAACUAGAAUAUGUAGUGUAGCGGUGAAAUGCAUAGAUAUUACAUAGAAUACCGAUUGCGAAGGCAGGUUACUAACUAUAUACUGACGCUGAUGGACGAAAGCGUGGGGAGCGAACAGGAUUAGAUACCCUGGUAGUCCACGCCGUAAACGAUGGAUACUAGCUGUCCGGAUGCAAAUCUGGGCGGCCAAGCGAAAGUGAUAAGUAUCCCCACCUGGGGG